rnacentral:rRNA from 1 species
GAUGAACGCUGGCGGCGUGCCUAAUACAUGCAAGUCGAGCGAACAGACGAGGAGCUUGCUCCUCUGACGUUAGCGGCGGACGGGUGAGUGACACGUGGAUAACCUACCUAUAAGACUGGGAUAACUUCGGGAAACCGGAGCUAAUACCGGAUAAUAUAUUGAACCGCAUGGUUCAAUAGUGAAAGACGGUUUUGCUGUCACUUAUAGAUGGAUCCGCGCCGCAUUAGCUAGUUGGUAAGGUAACGGCUUACCAAGGCGACGAUGCGUAGCCGACCUGAGAGGGUGAUCGGCCACACUGGAACUGAGACACGGUCCAGACUCCUACGGGAGGCAGCAGUAGGGAAUCUUCCGCAAUGGGCGAAAGCCUGACGGAGCAACGCCGCGUGAGUGAUGAAGGUCUUCGGAUCGUAAAACUCUGUUAUUAGGGAAGAACAAAUGUGUAAGUAACUAUGCACGUCUUGACGGUACCUAAUCAGAAAGCCACGGCUAACUACGUG